rnacentral:sRNA from 1 species
AUAGCAAAGUACUAGUACUGAUAACGACCAUCUUGGAGAAGCAUUGAAAUUUGUCAAGCAGUCCUAGCCAGUGUUAAUGUUAUUUUCAAUGGGUUGAAUUAGCCACGCUGUGAUUUACCAUCUUUUCCGUACCCCUCCCUCCCCCAAAACACCAUGACGUCUACCAUAGGAAAUGCAACGGCUCCUGCACCCGCACCCGCACCUGCACCCACAUCCGCCUCUACAAACACAACAACCCCUCCCCCCACAGCCGACGACCCCGUAAUAGCCUCUUACGAUAUCUACAUAACCGAUUCUCAAAUACGGCGCUUCCUCCUCCAAUACCCAGACCGCCAGGCCACACAACCCUACAACGCCGCAACGCACCAGAAACCUACAGAGCUCCGUCUGAAACCGCGUACAGGCCUCGUGGAAGUCGAUAUACCGAUCAACACGCAUGUCAACUACGAUGAGAAGAAGGGGCGUAGAUACGGCAAUGCGUUGAGGAAGAGUAGGGUCAUUGCUGAAGGGGGC